rnacentral:rRNA from 1 species
UACAGAGGGUGCGAGCGUUAAUCGGAAUUACUGGGCGUAAAGCGUGCGUAGACGGUUAUAUAAGUCGGGUGUGAAAGCCCCGGGCUCAACCUGGGAAUUGCAUUCGAGACUGUGUAGCUAGGGUGCGGAAGAGGGAAGCGGAAUUUCCGGUGUAGCGGUGAAAUGCGUAGAUAUCGGAAGGAACAUCAGUGGCGAAAGCGGCUUCCUGGUCCAGCACCGACGUUCAGGCACGAAAGCGUGGGGAGCAAACAGG